rnacentral:rRNA from 1 species
CCUACGGGAGGCAGCAGUGGGGAAUAUUGGGCAAUGGGCGCAAGCCUGACCCAGCAACGCCGCGUGAAGGAAGAAGGCUCUCGGGUUGUAAAAUUCUUUUGUCAGAGACGUAGCAAGUGACGGUACCUGACGAAUAAGCCACGGCUAACUACGUGCCAGCAGCCGCGGUAAUACGUAGGUGGCAGGCGUUAUCCGGAUUUACUGGGUGUACAGGGAGUGUAGGCGGGGAGGCAAGUCAGAUGUGAAAACGACGGGCUCAACCUGUGGAUUGCAUUUGAUACUGGCUUUCUUGAGUUCAGGAGAGGGAGGCGGAAUUCGGGGUGUAGCGGUGAAAUGCGUAGAUAUACGGAGGAACACCAGUGGCGAAGGCGGAUUGCUGAACAGUAACUGACGUUGAGGCGCGAAAGCGUGGGGAGCAAACAGGAUUAGAUACCCCUGUAGUC